rnacentral:lncRNA from 1 species
CAGCAGUAGAAUCUGAGAUCAGAUACAUGUUCCACGAGUAUAUUCACAAUAAUGGCUAGUGAUUCUUGUAUUCAUGGAUUUAUGAUAUAAGUAAUUCUGAUGUUCAUUGGCUUCAACAACACUCUUGAAUAGCAGAAUCACUUUUGAGAAGCUAGAAGUGAUGGACAUAGUGAGGGUCUUUUAUUUAAAUAUCCUGUCUACAUCUCCCUCUCCCUCGUCCUCUGAAAAGACAAGGAUAAAGAAGUUCAGAGUCUUGAACUACCCUCUUUAGAAACCAUUGUAUCAGAGGCUUGCAUUACUUUUUAUUAAUCUCAAAGCAUGUGCCAUCAGAUACUGUGAUUCUUCUAAAUCUAAAAGCAGAGGUUAACACUGAAACAAACAAUAUACUGAUAUUUAACUUUCAUUCUUAGUUAAAAAAAAAGAGGCAAAUAAAUUAUCAUUUGAUGCACAACUGAAAGGAAUUUGAAGUUGAACAUUCCAUAUUUGUUCUUAACUUUGAAGAUCUCAAGAACUCCAGAUGCACCCACUAGUGUCAGACUUUUAAAAAAUUUUAAUUAAUCAUUUUAUUUGUUUACAUUUUAAAUGAUAUCCCCCAUUUCUGAUUUCCCCUGCUACAAACCCCUGAUCCCAUAUCCCCUCUUACCCCUCCCCUUUGCCUCUAUGAGGGUGCUCCUCCACCCACUCACCCACUCCUGCCUUACUGCUCUAGGGGCAUCAGCUUCCACAGGACCAAUGGCCUCUUUCCCAAAUGAAUUUUUUUUUAUGUAAACAUUUAGGUUUGUGGUUCUUUUAAGAUUUUAUGAGAUCACUUUUUAAGAUAAAUAAUAAAAUAAUUGAUCCUUACUUUGUAACUGCAAAUUGCCAUCUGCCAAUAAGAGAAAGUGCCUGAGAACAUUAUUCUUGCAUGCAUUGCUUAGUUGCUUAGUUAUGAAUAUAUGUGGGUUCUUGGGAAUAAUUUGUGUUUUUCAUGUGUAACAAUUAAAGUAUUGUUAUAAAGGGAAUUGGGAGGCAUGUUUUUUCUUUCAUGUAGUCAUUGUGAUCAUUCAGUAGACGAAAAAGAGAAUGUACUCAUAUUGUAAUUUUAUACUGCUUGAAAGACUUUGCUGGGAUAUGUAAGCUGUGAAAGAGCUUCUUUUCCUUGAUACCCAACAUCAAUGUGAUAUAUUUAAUUGAGCCACAAGAGGGUGGUGGUGGGCAAGAAUACAUGCUCAGAAUUCUCAGUGAACUUCUGGUGCCCUGGAAAGUUAUCCUGAGAUGCAGAAAGACAUGCAAUUCUGACUCUGGACAGUGACGUUGUCAUAUUUGGGGGAAUAUGACAGGUUGAUACUUUACUAGGAACUUAGAGGGCUGUGAAGGUCACAUGCUGUGCCACUCAGGCUCUGACAGUUGUAUGUGUCUGUGUAUGUGUAUACAUGCAUACUGCAGAGGCCAGAAGAAGGCAGAUAUGAGUCUACUGAUAUCGGUACUGGAAACUGAAUUCUGGACCCCUGCAAGAGCAGCCAACCAUUUCAACCACUGAGCCAACCUUUCAAGUCCCAGCCUUCAUUUUAUAAAUUUCUGUCAUAUUUUCCAUUAUAAGCGUUUAUCCAUUUACAGUUGCCCACUUCCCAUCAGUAUGGCAAAUACUCGUGACAAUUAACGUAUAAAGAUUUUGCAGUCAUCCUCUUCUCUUAUUCUUUUUCAAUUUUUCUGCUCCCUGUUUCACAGUGAGCCCUGAAUCUUGGAAGAAGGGGGUAUGACAUAGAUGUCCCAUUUAGAGCUUGGAAGCCUUCAGUUCCUUAUCAUUUACAUUCUGAUCAGCUCUUGGUCUCUGUGUUAACCUCUAUCUAGGGCAAAAGGAAGCUUCUCUAAUAAGGGUUGAGAGAUGAACUUUACUCUCAUUGGUGUGUUAAACUACAGAUAUAACGAGA